rnacentral:lncRNA from 1 species
CCCAUCACUGUGUAUCCUAAAAGGGCUAUUGGGCUCUGCCAGUAUUGUCAGGACCGUCCUAGGAAACCGGAACAAUGCAGCCCAUGCUCCAAAGGGCUGGCGUGGGACGCGCCCCAGGUCGGACCGCAGCCCACGGCAGUGCAAGGCUACCGGUGCGCGGCAAAGGAAGGGGUUCCACGGGCGCCCUAAACGCUCACGCUGGGGAAGGAGGUGCAGGAAACGAAGGAAGCAGGGAGGAGACGGAGAAGUGCUGCAGCAGCUUGAGUCGGCAAGUUGAGAGAAGUGAAAGCAGUCCAGGUUGGGCGGAACGUGAAGAAGGGCUGGAGGAGCGGCCCAAGGUAAAAGAUCCAGCCGCAGACGAAAGCGGUAACUGGAUUAGGAGGGCCAUUAAGCGAAUUUAAGGAGAUAGGACUUUAUCCCGAGAGCAACGGAGAGCCCAUAAAAGAUCGUAAACAGGAGUGACACGAACAGAUUUACAUUAAAAUAAAGCAUCUGACCGGCUGUGCUGUCGAGACGGGGGAGGGGCAAGGGCGGAGGCGGAGAGAGCGGUGAGCGGUCGCCGGAGGUCCAGUUGGGAGACGCCGCGCCCCGCACCGAGGUAUGAGAGCUGCAGCAGCGACAACCAGGCGGCCUGAAGUGCAGACGCAAAACGGAUCCCGGGGCUAGGUGAAUUGGGGUAGGGGGAUAAUGACCAGAUUGUAGUGUUGUCUUUGCUGAGACAGGAAACACGCGAGGCUUGUAGGGAAGGUGCCCAGCUUCGCUGAGAACACCUAGAUUUUGAGAUUUCUGUGGCACCCAAGUUAAAUAUGCCUGGACUUCAGGACACGGGGGUUCCGGAAGCAGGAUGACGCGCCGGGAGGGGACGAGACGGUCCAGAGCACGCCCGGGAGAGAGGGCGGCCCAGACGGCACCGGCCUGCGCUCCAGCCCUCCCUCCCUCACACACGCGGAAUCUCAAAACAUGCGCAAACGUAUUGGCAACCAAAUCAUGUCAGCGUUGGCUUUGCG